rnacentral:rRNA from 1 species
AACGAACGCUGGCGGCAUGCUUUACACAUGCAAGUCGAACGGUAACAGGCCGCAAGGUGCUGACGAGUGGCGAACGGGUGAGUAAUGCAUCGGAACGUGCCCAGUCGUGGGGGAUAACGCAGCGAAAGCUGCGCUAAUACCGCAUACGAUCUAUGGAUGAAAGCGGGGGACCGUAAGGCCUCGCGCGAUUGGAGCGGCCGAUGUCAGAUUAGGUAGUUGGUGGGGUAAAGGCUCACCAAGCCAACGAUCUGUAGCUGGUCUGAGAGGACGACCAGCCACACUGGGACUGAGACACGGCCCAGACUCCUACGGGAGGCAGCAGUGGGGAAUUUUGGACAAUGGGCGCAAGCCUGAUCCAGCAAUGCCGCGUGCAGGAAGAAGGCCUUCGGGUUGUAAACUGCUUUUGUACGGAACGAAACGGUCCUGGUUAAUACCUGGGGCUAAUGACGGUACCGUAAGAAUAAGCACCGGCUAACUACGUGCCAGCCGCCGCCGUAACAC